GACGAACGUUGGCGGCGUGCUUAAUACAUGCAAGUCAACUGAAGCACCGGUAGUAAUACUGGUGUGGAGGUGGCGCACGGGUGAGUAACACGUAGGUAAUCUGCCUUCAGGUCUGACAUAACCCCGAGAAAUCGGGGCUAAUAGCAGAUGAUGCAGCGGCUUGACAUCAAAGACAGUUGUUAAAGCUUCGGCGCCUGAAGAUGAGCCUGCGUCUGAUUAGCUAGUUGGCGGAGUAAUAGCCCACCAAGGCGACGAUCAGUAGCUGGUCUGAGAGGAUGAUCAGCCACACUGGAACUGAGACACGGUCCAGACUCCUACGGGAGGCAGCAGUAAGGAAUAUUGCUCAAUGGGAGAAAUCCUGAAGCAGCAACGCCGCGUGAGGAUGAAGGG
rnacentral:rRNA from 1 species